CUACGGGUCGCUGCAGUGGGGGAUAUUGCACAAUGGAGGAAACUCUGAUGCAGCGACGCCGCGUGAGUGAUGAAGUAUUUCGGUAUGUAAAGCUCUAUCAGCAGGGAAGAAAGGCUCCGUAUGGAGAGAUGACGGUACCUGAGUAAGAAGCCCCGGCUAACUACGUGCCAGCAGCCGCGGUAAUACGUAGGGGGCGAGCGUUAUCCGGAAUUACUGGGUGUAAAGGGAGCGCAGACGGAUCUGCAAGUCUGAUGUGAAAGCCCGGGGCUCACCCCCGGGACUGCAUUGGAAACUGUAGAUCUGGAGUAUUGGAAGGGCAAGCGGAAUUCCUGGUGUAGCGGUGAUAUGCGUAGAUAUCAGGAGGAACACCGGUGGCGAAGGCGGCUUGCUGGACAAUAACUGACGUUGAGGCUCGAAAGCGUGGGGAGCAAACAGGAUUAGAUACCCGUGUAGUC
rnacentral:rRNA from 1 species